AGAUUGAACGCUGGCGGCAUGCCUAACACAUGCAAGUCGAGCGGCAGCGCGGGGGCGGACCCUCGGCGGCGAGCGGCGGGACGGGGUGGAGUAAGGCAUCGGAAGUACUGCCCUCGAUGUGGGGGAGUAACGUAGGGAAACGUUAACGCUAAUAACCGCAUACGACCGAGAGGUGAAAGACGGGGGACCGGAAAGGACCGUCGCGCAGCAGGAGUGAGCCGAUGUCCGAUUAGCUGGUUGGU
rnacentral:rRNA from 1 species